UACGGAGGGGGCUAGCGUUGUUCGGAAUUACUGGGCGUAAAGCGCGCGUAGGCGGUCUAUAAAGUCAGGUGUGAAAUCCCGGAGCUUAACUUCGGAAUUGCAUUUGAAACUCAUAGACUAGAGAGUGGUAGAGGACAGUGGAAUUCCCGGUGUAGAGGUGAAAUUCGUAGAUACCGGGAGGAACACCAGUGGCGAAAGCGGCUGUCUGGGCCAUUUCUGACGCUAAGGCGCGAAAGCGUGGGGAGCAAACAGG
rnacentral:rRNA from 1 species